AAAGGUAAUAAAAAACAGAAAUAAUUAUUCAUUGUCUGGGAAUUUCUCUUCUCCAACCCAAACCCUAACGCCGUCGACUUUCAUGGGCUCUCUCUGCUACCCCGUCAGUGAAGUUUUCCUGCAUCCAAAACUCAUCGAACAACACGUUUUCCUGCACCCAAUACUCAUCGAACGUUCAAUUCCUUAAAACUUAGAGUAUGUCGUCUCUCUCUCUCGGAUAAAUUCCUUUUAGGAUUUAAGCUAUCUCCUCUCCAGGUCGAUAACUCACUUCAAUUUGAUUUCAUGUGCAAAGAAUUAGUGGUCGGAAGAUAAUAUUUCUCCUAAUGUCUUCAUCUCGGAUACCUUAUUUUGCCUGUUCACUAUUGCGCAGGUGUGUAGGUUGUAUUCAUAUUGGUUUAUUAAUAUCUUGCUUAUUUUAGUUGUUUGAAUAAGUUAAAAUACAAUUUGUUUUAUCUCCAUCCAAUAGCCUACCCCCACUACUGUAGUGACAACAUCGAUUGUAGACGGUAGGAAAUCUAGUUCUGCAACAUUAUUAUUCCAUUGAAGUUCUCAAUUGUAAUAGAAAAAACAGAGUUACCAGGGUAUAUAUUAGUGUAUUAACUUCCUUAGUUCACAGUAAAGCAUGAUCCUUUUCAGACAUUGAUGGAAAAUAUGUUCAUAAAAUUCUUUGUUUUUGUUGAUUGAUGUUGUAAAUUCUAAUUGGCAGUGACUCUUGAGAGUUGUGGGAGUUGGUGACAAUAAAUCUCUGGUGGUUAUUGAUGAUUUAUUGAAUAAGUGUUUGGAUGAUAGUUUCUUGUUACAACUUUGUAGGCUCAAGCAUGUUGGAAUCAACACUUGCUGACAGUGGUAUAUAUCUAUGCUAGUUUGCAUAGCUUGUCUUGGUAGUGAUAUGAAUGUUUUUGCAAUUUCUUACGCUUACUGUUUGAUUAUAAUUCAAAGGACAAUGUCGUGUAUUUGCACAUCUGGAAUCCCAAGAAAAUAUUGUAGAGAUUGCAUCUCAACUUGGUAAAAAAUCGUUUUUAAGUGACUUAACAAGCGUUUUCUUCUAGUGUAGCCAUCUUUGUUUCAUUGUUCCUUUUCAAUGAACUUGUUUCUAUUUGUAUACACAUGAAGCUAACAUAUUUGGAAUUGAGUUAUUUUUUUAACAGCAAAAGGGCUGCUAUGAAGUCCAUCCUGUAUCCCUAUAAAUAUGUCUUUUCUGGAUUUGAUGCGGUUAUGAGUCAGUCUCAAGCUAAGCUCAUUGCAGGUAUUCUGUAGCUUAACCAUAGCAAGACCAGUCACAUUAUGUGCAAAGCAUUGUAUAAUACUUUUAAAAUAAGUUUUAAGAAAAUUCUCUUUAUGUCUGCAUUUUUUUGAUAUGCAGAUUUCCCCGACGUUGUCCGCGUGAUUCCUAAUAAGAUUCUUAGUCUUCACACAAUAAGAAGCUGGGAUUUCUUGCACGUAAAGCAGGAUAUAGUAACUGGUGUUCUUUCUAGAGCCUAAUCUGGAAGAGGCACAAUCAUUGCCAUCAUAGACACUGGUUACUUUGUAUAACACAACUCUAUAAUAACUAUAAGAAAGUGUUUGAUGAGACUAUAGUCAUAAAGUGUGAUUGUUGUCAUAUAAUUCUUUGCUCUAUUAGGUAUCUGGCCUGAGUCUCAUAGCUUUAGAGAUGAUCGCAUGGAUAAUCCUCCUCCUCCUCGAUGGCAUGGAAUAUGUUAAGAAGGCGAAAAUUUUGACAGCUCCCACUGUAAUAGGUUCAUAGCUGAUUACAAAUUUAUUUCUAGUCAUUUUAUCCUACAGUAUAUGGAGAAGAUAUAGCAACUUCAUAUGCAAGUAAAGAAAGUACAAGAAGAUGUGAAUCAGGAAGUUUUAAUUCCUCCUUAGCUAAGGGAAAAGCAAUUCUAUGUUUUCAGUCUCGGUCGUGGUGAUUGGUAAUGGCUGCUACAAGAAGUGUAAUGGAAGCUUAGGCUAUUGGUCUCAUAUAUGCUCAAUUUCCAACUAAAGAUGUUGAUAUGUGUAAGGAUAUACCCUCUGCCCAAGUUGAUUUCAUAGCAGGAACAAAAACUCUAUCAUACCUGGAAACUACUAGGAAUCCAAGUUGAUUUCAUAGUAAGAACAAAAAUUCUAUCAUACCUGGAAGCUUCUAAGUAAAUACUCUUGAAAACCAACAUCUAUUUUUCUAUGCUUAGUCUAUAAAAUAUUAAAUAAUGAUGUUCUAUUUUAAAAAUAUUAGCUGUCAAAUUUGUACUAUUUAGUUUCUUCUGUGUAACAAAUAGUUAGUUGUGUUAAGGAUAAUGAAUUUCGACUUUGUGACAUUUAAUUUGGCCUUACUUCUUUAUGAUUUGUUUCUAGCUAUGAUCUUUAGGCAAUUAUUUACAGUACCUUUUUUAUUACUUGUCAUAUUUGGAUAUACAUUUUGCAGAAUAUUUGAUAUGACAAAAUAUAUUUUUACGAUAAAAAAAUUAUUUUAAAAAAAAUCCCAACUUUUUAGGUCAGUUAUAAAUGGUUUCAGAUCUUUUUGAAAGCCUAGACUUCUUAAGCCGGUUAUCUUUUAACCGACCUAAUAAAAGUUUCUUAUGUCAGGUCCAAAUCCGACUUAAGAAGUCAAAGCUUCUUAUGUCGGUAAUUCUUAGGUCAGGCUCGAAACCGUCUUAAGAAGUCAUUUUUAACCGACUUAACAAGUGUUUUUUCUACUAGUGACGCAACCAACAGGCUGGGGGAAUUCUGAUCUCCACACCAGCAUCACAACCACAACGUAAACAUAACGCGCCUAAAAGACAAUUCACAAAGAUCAACAUGACUUUGGCUGAAGCGUUGCAACAGAUGCUGAAAAAAGGGCUAGUUACUUUGAGGGAUCCUCCUCGGAAUCCUAACACUUUGUCUCAUUAGUAUAAUCCUAAUGCAAGAUGUGCUUAUCACUCCGACAACAUUGGACAUGACACUAAUGAUUGCUGGCUAUUGAAGAAUAAGAUCCAAGAUCUAAUCGAAGGCAAGACCAUUGACUUCCACUUACCUGAGAAAUCUCAUGUGGCUAAUGUUGUGUACAAUCAGAAAGGUCGCAAUGAACACAACCAAUAUGUGGGGACAAUCCUGACCUUCACACCAGUUCCACAACAAGGACGCGAGUCAGAUGCACCUAAGCGUUAGUUCACAAAGAUCAAUUUGUCACUGGCUCGGGCAUUACAAUAUCUGCUGAAAGCAAACUUGAUUAUUGUAAAGGAUCCUCCCGUGAAUCCCAACACUUCCUCUCCUCGCUAUAACCCCAACGCGAGAUGUGCGUAUCAUUCCAUUAGCCCUGGACAUGACACCGACAAUUGCUGGACUUUGAGAAACAAGAUUCAAGACAUGAUCGGUGCUGGUGAAAUUGAAUUCAAUCAUCCUAAGACUCCUGUAGUGAUCACCGUUCCCAUGCCUAAUCACGACAAGAUCGAUAAAUGUCUAGAAGGAUGAACUUUUUAGAUCAU